UAGGGAAUCUUCCACAAUGGGCGCAAGCCUGAUGGAGCAACACCGCGUGAGUGAAGAAGGGUUUCGGCUCGUAAAGCUCUGUUGUUAAAGAAGAACACGUAUGAGAGUAACUGUUCAUACGUUGACGGUAUUUAACCAGAAAGUCACGGCUAACUACGUGCCAGCAGCCGCGGUAAUACGUAGGUGGCAAGCGUUAUCCGGAUUUAUUGAGCGUAAAGAGAGUGCAGGCGGUUUUCUAAGUCUGAUGUGAAAGCCUUCGGCUUAACCGGAGAAGUGCAUCGGAAACUGGAUAACUUGAGUGCAGAAGAGGGUAGUGGAACUCCAUGUGUAGCGGUGGAAUGCGUAGAUAUAUGGAAGAACACCAGUGGCGAAGGCGGCUACCUGGUCUGCAACUGACGCUGAGACUCGAAAGCAUGGGUAGCGAACAGGAUUAGAUACCCUGGUAGUCCAUGCCGUAAACGAUGAGUGCUAGGUGUUGGAGGGUUUCCGCCCUUCAGUGCCGGAGCUAACGCAUUAAGCACUCCGCCUGGGGAGUACGACCGCAAGGUUG
rnacentral:rRNA from 1 species